AGGACGAACGCUGGCGGCGCGCUUAAUACAUGCAAGUCGAGCGAGAACCGGACCUUCGGGUCCGGGAAAGCGGCGAACGGGUGAGUAACACGUGGGUAAUCUGCCCUCGGUACUGGGAUAGCCCGGGGAAACCCGGAUUAAUACCGGAUAGCCUUUCGAGCUCUCGGGCUCGUUAGAAAAUGGUGGCUUCGGCUUCCGACUGAGGAUGAGCCCGCGGCGGAUUAGCUUGUUGGUGAGGUAAUGGCUCACCAAGGCUCCGAUCCGUAGCUGGUCUGAGAGGACGAUCAGCCACACUGGGACUGAGACACGGCCCAGACUCCUACGGGAGCAGCAGUAGGGAAUCUUGCGCAAUGGGCGAAAGCCUGACGCAGCGACGCCGCGUGCGGGAAGAAGGCCUUCGGGUGUAAACCGCUUA
rnacentral:rRNA from 1 species